rnacentral:lncRNA from 1 species
UUGCUCUUCAGGUAUGCAUGGAAGCAAAUCCUCAACUCAGAAAACCUUGAGUAUGAAAAAAUGAUGUUUCCUUUGCUGCAAUUUUAAAGUGAGUUAGAAAGAUCCAGUCUUAUAAGCAAAUAAUAUCUGUGCUAGAAUUCAGCUGACCUCUGGGGUCCUCAGCUCUGCAGUGCUGAUGGGACGAUACUGCRUGGGAAGUGCCCCUGAAUUUAGGUGCUCAUCAAACUGAGGCCGCCAGCCACUGUUUGCUUAUGAGCCUGUCGUGUUCGACACAGCCCCCCGGAAAGUAACCUACUGUAGGAGAGAACUGUUCUCCAAUCCUAAUUGGCUCUCUGAGGAACUCGGGCUGAACGUCCCCAGAAGAAGGCUGUUUGGAGAGAGUUUUUCUUCAUCCAGAUCUGGAUGUUUAAAAUCCUGGGGAAGAAACUUAUAGUUGGGACCUCUAUUGGAGAAGAAAUUCGGCUUCUAUUUUCCUAUCUGUCCUCAAACGGAAUGCAGGAGGGUAUCAGGGAAAGGUGGAACCGAUAGUGACUUGUGCCAGUGCAGCUCUUCUAGUACAAGGCUGCAGUGGGCGGGAGUGGUUGGUCCUACCGCUGCCUCCACCAGGCCCCGUCCCUGCUGCCACCUCUCCAGGAGAUGUGUCACCAYCUGCAUGUCAUUCGGAGAGGCAAUUGCAGCAAACAUCCGAGCAAACAGUCCUUUCAGCGGCAGAUGGUAUCCCUCCACACGCACGCAAAACGUCUCCAACCCUCCGGGAGCAGCAUGUGCCUUCAACUCUUUCCUGUGUAACAUAACCUAUAGGGCACGCGUUGCAACCUUACAUCUGCUCCUUUUAGCCUAUGUUCCUGUAUCUCUCUAG